GAUCCUGGCUCAGAUUGAACGCUGGCGGCAGGCCUAACACAUGCAAGUCGAACGGUAACAGAAAGCAGCUUGCUGCUUUGCUGACGAGUGGCGGACGGGUGAGUAAUGUCUGGGAAACUGCCCGAUGGAGGGGGAUAACUACUGGAAACGGUAGCUAAUACCGCAUAACGUCGCAAGACCAAAGAGGGGGACCUUCGGGCCGUCUUGCCAUCGGAUAGUGCCCAGAUGGGAUUAGCUAGUAGGUGGGGG
rnacentral:rRNA from 1 species